rnacentral:sRNA from 1 species
CAUUUCCAUAAAAAUAAUUCUCUUGCAUCUUCUGGUGAUAAUAAUAAAUUUGACAUU